rnacentral:rRNA from 1 species
AUUGAACGCUGGCGGCAGGCCUAACACAUGCAAGUCGAGCGGAUGACGGGGGCUUGCUCCUGGAUUCAGCGGCGGACGGGUGAGUAAUGCCUAGGAAUCUGCCUGGUAGUGGGGGACAACGUUUCGAAAGGAACGCCAAUACCGCAUACGUCCUACGGGAGAAAGCAGGGGACCUUCGGGCCUUGCGCUAUCAGAUGAGCCUAGGUCGGAUUAGCUAGUUGGUGAGGUAAUGGCUCACCAAGGCGACGAUCCGUAACUGGUCUGAGAGGAUGAUCAGUCACACUGGAACUGAGACACGGUCCAGACUCCUACGGGAGGCAGCAGUGGGGAAUAUUGGACAAUGGGCGAAAGCCUGAUCCAGCCAUGCCGCGUGUGUGAAGAAGGUCUUCGGAUUGUAAAGCACUUUAAGUUGGGAGGAAGGGCAGUAAGCGAAUACCUUGCUGUUUUGACGUUACCGACAGAGUAAGCACCGGCUAACUCUGUGCCAGCCGCCGCCGUAA